rnacentral:piRNA from 1 species
UUCCCUGAAGAUUCUGGAAACAGCCCUGC